AAUAAAAGUGUUGCUGAUUUCUAAAACUCUUUCUGUCUUUCCUUUUCCAAGAACAUCAGCAGGUGGUUAAUACUGUUAAUGUUCUUGGCUAUUUUAGAUUCUUUAAUCCACAUAAAUAUAGGACCAAAAUCUGAAAGUUUCAACACGGCUCAGAUUCAAAGAACCUGGACAAAAUAUGGGUUAUUUCUUAUUUCUUCUGAUUUCUCAAGUUCAUAUUAGCUUAUGAUUAUUUCAAGAAAAGCAAAAACAGGGGUAGGUGUUAUUUCAGCCUCUAAUUUAAUUCCAUUUUACAUACAUCCGUUGCUUUAUUUUAGUACUAUUUUUCUGGGUUUUUGCAGAAAAGUUCUUUUUCAAAUGUUUUUCUCUUUUUUGUGCUUUUCAGUGAAGGUUUGAUAAGGUGGGGAAUAAAAUGAGGCA
rnacentral:lncRNA from 1 species